UACGGGGGGGGCAAGCGUUAAUCGGAAUUACUGGGCGUAAAGCGUGCGCAGGCGGUUUUGUAAGCCAGAUGUGAAAGCCCCGGGCUUAACCUGGGAAUGGCAUUUGGGACUGCAAGGCUUGAGUGCGGCAGAGGAGACUGGAAUUCCUGGUGUAGCAGUGAAAUGCGUAGAUAUCAGGAGGAAUACCGAUGGCGAAGGCAGGUCUCUGGGCUGACACUGACGCUCAUGCACGAAAGCGUGGGGAGCAAACAGG
rnacentral:rRNA from 1 species